UAUAAAUUUGGAUAUUUUAAAUUGUUUUGUUAGUGAAACCAUCGUUGAAAUUUUAAUGAAAAUGCCCGGCAAACGACUAAAUGAAGGGCAGAAAGAAUUCAUUAUGCGGUUGGUUGCUUAUUUCUUGCGGGAACGCGACAACGAUGGCCCUUAUUUGCUCCCUGUUACAUCAGUCCAGAAGGUGUCAUGUCAUCUCGAUCUUUAUCAAUGUUAAGGAAAUAAAUUUAUUAAUAAACAUCAUAUUCAAUACAUUAUGAUGAACAAUGCAGCAGAACAUUAUGAAUUUCGUCAUUUUAGGAACCCCAUGCAUAUCAACUGGCGAAACCUACUUUUCAUUGAAAAGUUUUCAAUAUUCCUUUUUUAAGUAAUUUGUUACUUAAUAAAUAUUUUUGUAAUAUUCAUCAAUAAUAAUAAAUUUAAAAUUUCAUGCAC